rnacentral:rRNA from 1 species
UAAGUAAGUGGUGGAAAUUAAACCAAAUGGGAUAUCUUUAGUAAUUGCGAAUGAACAAGGAUAUGCUUAGCUUGACAAAUGGAGCUAUUGGCUUUGAAAUGUAUUUGUGGAAUGUAUUACCAACAGAGGUGCAGGUGCCAGCCUAUUAAAUAAAGCGUCAAUGAGGGUGAGAAUCCUGUUUGUCAUGUGCAGCCCUUUGUGCACGGUGUAUAUUUGCUGAGUCACACUCCUUGGCAUUGGAAUGCAAAGUGGGUGGUAAGUUUCAUGUACAGGUAAACAUGCAAUUGAGACUGAUAGCACACAAGUACCAUGAGGGAAAUAUGAAAAGGACUUUGAAAAGAGAAUUAAAUGAGUUUGUAUUUGCUGAACACAAAGUAAACAGACUUGAUUUGCUUGGUGGGAGUGUUGCACUUGCUUGACGAGAGCUUUGGGCUGUGGGUGUAAUGAUUCUUUCUUUGCAUGCCAGUUUCUAUUUGUACAUCUGAUUACCUUUGCACAUGAAUGAUAAGUCUCCUGUGGGGGGUGGAUUGCAUGUGCAUGUAAUGAUUUGUGUUUUGAUAAAUGUGUCUGGUGUAUGUGUGUGUUCCUGUGCUUGGGGAUGCUUCCUUCCUUGGACUUACAAGCCCUGACACACACAUGCUGGCAAAAUGCUUCUGCUUGACCCG